AGCAGCCGCGGUAAUUCCAGCUCCAAUAGCGUAUAUUAAAGUUGUUGCAGUUAAAAAGCUCGUAGUUGAAUUUCGGGAUCAGUAAGCCGGUCGUACCUUCGGUAUGUACUGGUGUCACUGAUUCCUCCUUCUGAUGAACCGUUAUACCAUUUAGUUGGUGUGGCGGGGAAUUAGGACUGUUACUUUGAAAAAAUUAGAGUGUUUAAAGCAAGCUCGCGCUUGAAUACAUUAGCAUGGAAUAAUAAAAUAGGACGUUUGAUCUCCUAUUUUGUUGGUUUCUAGGAUCGACGUAAUGAUUAAUAGGGAUAGUUGGGGGCAUUAGUAUUCAAUUGUCAGA
rnacentral:rRNA from 1 species